CAGUAGCCGCGGUAAUACGUAGGUCCCGAGCGUUGUCCGGAUUUAUUGGGCGUAAAGCGAGCGCAGGCGGUUUCUUAAGUCUGAUGUGAAAGCCCCCGGCUCAACCGGGGAGGGUCAUUGGAAACUGGGAAACUUGAGUGCAGAAGAGGAGAGUGGAAUUCCACGUGUAGCGGUGAAAUGCGUAGAGAUGUGGAGGAACACCAGUGGCGAAGGCGACUCUCUGGUCUGUAACUGACGCUGAGGAGCGAAAGCGUGGGGAGCGAACAGGAUUAGAUACCCGGGUAGUCCCUGUCUCUUAUAC
rnacentral:rRNA from 1 species